rnacentral:miRNA from 1 species
AAGGACCUGGUGGGAGAUCU